rnacentral:rRNA from 1 species
UACGUAGGGGGCAAGCGUUUAUCCGGAUUUAUUGGGCGUAAAGAGCUCGUAGGCGGCCCGUUCGCGUCGGAUGUGAAAGCUCAGGCUCAACUCUGAGACGCCCAUUCGAUACGGGGACGGGCUAGAGGUAGGUAGGGGGAAAGUGGAAUUCCUGGUGUAGCGGUGAAAUGCGCAGAUAUCAGGAGGAACACCGGUGGCGAAGGCGGCUUUCUGGGCCUUACCUGACGCUGGAGGAGCGAAAGCAUGGGGGAGCGAACAGG